UACCCUAUGAGGAAGAUCUCCCAAAAUUGAUAGGAAGUGCCGUAUGACACUCUAAACAGCAGCUCCAAUCCAUAGAAUGAUCUCAUCCACUGAUGGCGCAAACCUUCAAUGCCAUUAGUCGAAAUCAUUCCUUGGGGGGGUUGUGUGUGUGAUUUGGAACGGGUCUCUGAGGGUU